rnacentral:rRNA from 1 species
GAUGAACGCUGGCGGCGUGCCUAAUACAUGCAAGUCGAGCGAACAGACGAGGAGCUUGCUCCUCUGACGUUAGCGGCGGACGGGUGAGUAACACGUGGAUAACCUACCUAUAAGACUGGGAUAACUUCGGGAAACCGGAGCUAAUACCGGAUAAUAUAUUGAACCGCAUGGUUCAAUAGUGAAAGACGGUUUUGCUGUCACUUAUAGAUGGAUCCGCGCCGCAUUAGCUAGUUGGUAAGGUAACGGCUUACCAAGGCGACGAUGCGUAGCCGACCUGAGAGGGUGAUCGGACACACUGGAACUGAGGCACGGUCCAGACUCCUACGGGAGGCAGCAGUAGGGAAUCUUCCGCAAUGGGCCAAAGCCUGACGGAGCAACGCCGCGUGAGUGAUGAAGGUCUUCGGAUCGUAAAACUCUGUUAUUAGGGAAGAACAAAUGUGUAAGUAACUAUGCACGUAUUGACGGUACCUAAUCAGAAAGCCACGGCUAACUACGUG